rnacentral:rRNA from 1 species
GACGAACGCUGGCGGUGUGCUUAACACAUGCAAGUCGAACGGAAAGGCACUGCUUGCGUGGUGUGCCCGAGUGGCGAACGGGUGAGGAACACGUGAGUAACCGGCUCUUGAUUUUGGGAUAACUUCAGGAAACUGGGGCUAAUACCGGACAGGAGCCCCUGCUGCAUGGUGGGCGUUGGAAAGUCUCGGCGGUUGGGGAUGGACUCGCGGCUGAUCAGCUUGUUGGUGGGGUAGUGGCAUACCAAGGAUUUGACGGGUAGCCGGCCUGAGAGGGUGACCGGCCACAUUGGUCCUGAGAUACGGAGCAGUGUGCUACAGUAGGCAACAGUGGGGAGUAUUACACAGUGAGCGCAAGCCUGAUGCGGCAGCGCCGCGUUCGUGAUGACGGCCUGCGGGUAAUAAACCGCUUUCGCCUGUGACCACGCGUGAGUGACGGUACUGAGUAAAGAAGCACCGGCUAACUACGUG